rnacentral:lncRNA from 1 species
ACAACUUACUUUAAAGUCUCUCAGAUUUAAUUCCUCAUCGGUAAAAAGGAGAUACUAAAAACCACCUGUAACUGUCAUGAGGAUCGAGUACAAUUUCAAAGUUAAGUAUCUAGCAUGACACAGAACAGGCAGAAAAAAGUUUGAUAGGUUAAGAUCAGUAUUACUUCUAGAUCUUAUAAAUAUCUUCUAGCAUGCCAUUCUCUCUAUGACCCUCCGACCCCUUUCACUUUUCUGGUCUACUUUUUGUCUGUUUUACUGAUUUAUUGUGCUUGGUUUGCUUGCUGUGUGGCAAUGGAAAUGAGAGAUUUUAGGGUAUAGAAUUUUGUUUCAGAAUCUAUUUUUUUAAGACUUCUCUUUAACUAUUUGUACGUUAAACAUAUAGGGAUCGGGUGUGGGGAAGAAUGGAGAGAAAAAGAGUAUGGGGAGAGAUAAAGGGAAUUGGAAGGCAUUUGGGGUGCGAGGGAUAUGGAAACCUAGUGCAGUAGGGACUCCUGGGAUUCUACAAGGGUGACCCCAUCCAGGACUCCUAGAAAUGGAGGCGUCAGAGCUUGAACCCGCCAUGCCAUCCUCUGUAACCAGACAAGAUUUCCAUUGGAACGCAAACCAAAUCACAAAACCAUCAACCUACAACCAGUCCUGACUGCAAGAAGAGCUGGGCCUCAGGACUGUGGGAGUGGCCAAUCAGGGUUUGUGGGAGUGGCCAACCAUAGCUGAUCUAACUUGAGCCCCAUACCGCUAGAGGCAGCCCAUACCUGACCCUGCCCUGGUAUCCAGGAACCUGAAGCCAGAUGGUUCUGAGACCUAGGGUAGAACC